GAUGCAAGGUUAAGCAGCAAAUGUGGAGCCGCAGCGAAAGCGAGUCUGAAUAGGGCGUUGAGUAUUUGGUCGUAGACCCGAAACCAGGUGAUCUACCCUUGGUCAGGUUGAAGUUCAGGUAACACUGAAUGGAGGACCGAACCGACUUACGUUGAAAAGUGAGCGGAUGAACUGAGGGUAGCGGAGAAAUUCCAAUCGAACUUGGAGAUAGCUGGUUCUCUCCGAAAUAGCUUUAGGGCUAGCCUCAAGUGAUGAUUAUUGGAGGUAGAGCACUGUUUGGACGAGGGGCCCCUCUCGGGUUACCGAAUUCAGACAAACUCCGAAUGCCAAUUAAUUUAACUUGGGAGUCAGAACAUGGGUGAUAAGGUCCGUGUUCGAAAGGGAAACAGCCCAGACCACCAGCUAAGGUCCCAAAAUAUAUGUUAAGUGGAAAAGGAUGUGGCGUUGCCCAGACAACUAGGAUGUUGGCUUAGAAGCAGCCAUCAUUUAAAGAGUGCGUAAUAGCUCACUAGUCGAGUGACACUGCGCCGAAAAUGUACCGGGGCUAAACAUAUUACCGAAGCUGUGGAUUGUCCUUUGGACAAUGGUAGGAGAGCGUUCUAAGGGCGUCGAAGCAUGAUCGCAAGGACAUGUGGAGCGCUUAGAAGUGAGAAUGCCGGUGUGAGU
rnacentral:rRNA from 1 species